rnacentral:tRNA from 1 species
GGGGGUAUAGCUCAGCUGGGAGAGCACCUGCCUUGCACGCAGGGGGUCAAGGGUUCGAACCCCUUUACCUCCA